CCGAUUUUGAAGUGCCGCAGAACUGAGCGAUACUCGCGCUGUGUGUUCAUUACCUAACACUGAAUAUGUGUGCGAAAUAUCUUGCUCCAACUGUUCGUAGUUUUUUAGAAAACAGUUUUUUUAGUUCCCACGCCCGGCCGUCAGACCGUCGGCAAACCCUGCGCACGGGCGCACCGACGUCACUGCUCUCGGUUUAUCUGUCUUUGGCUUGGCAUGCACUCUUGGCUUGGCCGCUUGGCUUCUUUCGUUUCGUCCUCUGUGCAUCGUACAUAAGCGAACAGCUGUUAUGUUAUUGCUAAGCCGGAAACAAAGCAUGUGAAUAUUUUUUUUUUUUUUUGGCACGGCGUGGUUUGGAAAGUGCACUUCCUUGUUCUGACCUUGCCUUGUAUGGGCUGGAGCGAUAUGCCACGGCGAAGUUGUGGAAGAUGCGACGGUGCUACGUGCUACGCUGUUAGAACAAUUCAUCGGAGCAUUCAAGUGUUACCUUUUAUAAGCUGCUAAAAGACCAAGCAGUGCGAAGCUCUUGGCUGACAGUGGUGCCUGCUAAUUUCCACUGCAAGGAUUUCGUCAACGAAUGUUAUCAUAGGUUACGCGCGACUCCAGAGGCAAUUUGGAAUAUCGGCACGAAAUCGUCGGAUGAAAAUCUGAGGUGCCCGACGCACAACAUUUUGAACGUGCCACGGAGGAUCAAGGCAAAAAACGAGAGCAAAAAAGGUGCACACUGAAGGCGGAAAUGAAGCAUGAUCUGGCUUGCAUCUGGUGCAUGAAGAAAUUGCUGGCACGUUAGUUGCAGUCUACCUCCACCAACAGGGUGGAAAACAAAGGUCGCCAUUCCGAUUAGCUGCUAUCUCCCAGUUCAAGCACUUUUGCUGUCUGGACACUGGUUCCUGUGGAUGGGCUGUUACAAGCUUCACUGUCUGAUAUAGAAGUGAUGAGCAUCCAUAAGGACACAUGGCAGAAAGGGAGUCUCUUUGAGAUGACAAACCCUCAUCACCUCAUGAGGAUACAAUGGUUGACGAAUGGUUCUCAAGUACAUCGAAACUUCAACAAAUAAUUCAUGAAAAAGCCAGUCAGUGCUAGCACCAGGAAUUGAACGUGGACCGUCCUGCUACCAGUCAGAGAUGUUACAUUUCAGGCGCUCAUUGACUUUUGGUGCAUUACUUGUUGACUUUGUCCCAAGGUGGAGCUCGCCACAGCCCAUUUGUCUAUCUGUUAAUGUUGUGGCGUGUGUUGCGUUUUUCUCUUUGUGUGUUCCAGACUCAGAACGGUUAAUUUGGAUCAGGUCAGGUACGUUUCAUUUAGACAUGGCAAACAUAAAGUGGUGUUUCUCAACACAACUUAGCAGUGGCCUUCAUGCAUUACUGCCACGGCCAUUAAGCGUGAAUGGAAGGCUGCACAUUAUGCAUGAUGUAAAACCCCAAGACUAGGAACACGAAGAGACAAACACAAACACGUCCCUUUGUGUUCCCUAGUCACGGGGUUUUACAUAUGCGUCAUCUUCACCAGCUCACUUGCUUCCUAGCCAUUUUUUCUGCACAUUAUGUUCACUCUACUUCUAUCGUGUGCUAUGUAAUCUUGUUCAAGUUCUGUCAAACGACGUGUAAUGCUAUAAAAAAAUUCAGUACACUGUUUAUGUGGGUUGAAUGGUAGCGCAUAAAUGCAGAAAGGGAACUGUCAUGUUAUGGAAAGUGUUUACGUAUUGUACAUUUAACUACUAAUUUUAUUGGUUAGCUUUCGCCGGCAUAUGAUGUCAAGCCAUGUUAUAUUAAUUUGGAACAUGUUCUUCUUAGUAGCCAGAGCAGCUGACACACAUUGAGAACAUAGCCCGUGUGUGUUUGUCUUUUCCACCGCAGCCCUUGGGUUUCCUCCCUGAUGGCUACACAUGUCAGGGAUAGGUUUCAGAACCGGUAGUUCCCGCCAAGUGUGAAUUACUUUUCAGGGGAUCAUCACGCUGGCAGAUGAAACAUAUCGUUUAAAUUAUUUGCAGGACAGGAAUUGCGUAGCUUCACACAAAUACUACUACUACGACGUAAGAGUGGUUUCAAAUCUUGUUUUUUUGUAUUCCUGACGUUAUCGCACAAGAUGUAGUAUCCACUAUGAUCCUUUAUAUGAGGGGUAUGUACAGUGCAAUCAACAGAUGCUAUUUACAAAUCUGUGUUUUCUACUGUGUUGAAAUGGGGUAGUUUGUAUCUGAGAGAUAUAGUGAAACACAGGCAGCCAAGGACAGACUUUUGAUGCCCUCGAGAAACAUGGCAACACAUUGCAGGGAUUCUGGAUGCUGCAUAAAUUUCCAGAACACACAGCUCAAGGCAGCAGUUAAAUAACAAGUGGUUAGAGAAAUACAAGACAGUUGCACGUGUAAGCAGUCUGCUGUUGGAUUUGCUUCUGUCUGAGAUACGUUAUCUCAAAGGGAACGCACGGACACACUCAGAAUGAUACUAGGGCUGCCUGUGAAAUAGAAUGAGGAGAGGGGAAGAUAUAUAACCCUUUUUCUUGUCUGUUAUUCUAUUGGUUAAAUUGUCAUUUUCUUAGCAGCAUACGUGUGUAUAUUCCAGAGUCUGCUAAUAAAUAUAUCAGUUUAGAGCUAGCAGUCGCAUUGUAGAUGUCUCAUCCUGUCCUUGGUCGCUUGUGAUUCACUAUGGCCAUGCUUGCUAUUGCAAAAACAGAAAACAAAAAAAGACAACAGAAAAACACGGAAAGAGCGACCUAAAAAGCUGCCUUUUCUAGUGCUCACAUGGAGGCAAUGCAAUGAGGUAACAUGUUCCAUUCAUGAACUGUGCAUAGUAGUACAUAUCACAACGGCAACCGAUUAUUCAGAUUUUUCUUGAAGUACUUUUUUUUGUUGCUUUGUUUGCACAGUCUAUUAUUGGAGCUUUAUGUGAUUUCCCUCUUCAGAUACUUUAAGAUUGCUGAUGCUGUGCAGUUUGUUAAUUUUGAAACUGUACUGUGCUGAGGUACAAAAACAGAAUUGUCAUAUCUGCAUUUGAGCACAUAGGAAUAAUUUGUAAGUACUUUCCUUGUUGACAUUAAUAUUUGCACCAGGUCACAACAUUGUUGAUUGAUGGAAAAUG